GGGAACAGAGAACGUAAAGAGAGAAAGACAAUUUGGGGCAUUUUUUUAAGGUUAUGUCCAAAAACUGCUUACAAUAUUUGUCAAUUUCAGAUUUGUAUCUUGAUUGCCAUGCCUGGGUCUUUGCCGCACGCUCUAUGCGAGCAGACCGUGCGUGAUUCGUGUCCGGCCGUUACUUUGAUGCCGUUGUAGCGACGAGUUCGUGGUGCGCCUAUGAUCUGCGCAUUCAAUCAUUAUUCAGUUAUUAUUCGUUUAGCGACGAGUUCCUUUAUUAUUGUCGUCGACAUCGUUCCUGUUGACGUCGACCUGUUGUUCGUUGUGCGACCGCUAUUCGUUUUCGCGCGUUCGCCGUUGAUAUCGUUUUUGUAUAUCCCGCGAUCGACGCCGCCAUCAGUGCCGUGAUUACCAUUACGUCAUUUGCAGAUUACGUAAUCCGGUACCGCCGACCCCCCGUUCACCAGCGUGUCAUCGACAUCGUCGCCAAAGCUGUUGCAGUCACUGCCGCCGCCGAUACACCGCCCCACCACGGUGCAUGUGCCGAUCGGUAAUCAAUCUCAUGAUUUGACGAUAGUGUGUGAAUGUCUGAUCAAAAUUCAAAACUUCAAAACGACUUACCAAAUACUUAAUACGAUAUUAUAAUAUACUAUUUGGUCUAACACAGUAACGUGAGAAUUUGACUACAGAACCAGAAUAUAAUACAGAAAUCAGAAUAAUCUUGGGCACGAGACGCUGACUAUUCUAAUCGACCACAAAUUAACAAAUUAAUAUAAUUUAAAAUACGGGCAAACACGGCUCCGAAAUUCGUCUACUAUCACUGUAAGACAGAAAUUAGAACCUCUCAAUCACAAACGUUGAACACUUGGUCAAAACGAAACAUGAUCGGAAGUUUUGUGUAUGAUACUGCAAUAUGUAUUGGAGUAUGGGCAGUAUGGGCAAUGAUUUAAAUAUUUGUAUAUUUGCCUUUUUAUGAUUUUAUGAGAUAAAAUUACAAAAACGUUUGAUUCAAUUCAAGUACCUCUACGGCACUACUUAUCUGUUGGAACAAGGCCCAACACUCGAACUGAAAUUCUAGUAUCUAUUUUUUGGUACCACAAUUUUUGGAUUUAUUAAUUUGUUUGUUUGCGUUUCAAAUUCUUUGAUCAGUUCAUAAAGGAAUCGUUUUCGUCAUGUCGGCAGAAGAAGUAGAAUCGGAAAUCCAUUUCAUGAAAACUUAUGGUAUAAUGAAAUGGGACGAACUAAUAAUGUUAAAUGAUAAUCGUAAAUCACUCAACAAGAAAAUUGCACUUGGGUUGGCCACCAAAGAGGAAUUGUUGAAGCAAAUAAAAGUCGAAUUCAAUAUAUUGGAUACAUGUCAACUUAAAAUUGAU